UGGGGAAUUUUCCGCAAUGGGCGAAAGCCUGACGGAGCAAUACCGCGUGAGGGAGGAAGGUUUUUGGAUUGUAAACCUCUUUUUUAAAGGAAGAAGAAAGUGACGGUACUUUAAGAAUAAGCAUCGGCUAACUCCGUGCCAGCAGCCGCGGUAAUACGGAGGAUGCAAGCGUUAUCCGGAAUCAUUGGGCGUAAAGCGUCCGCAGGUGGUUAAUCAAGUCUGCUGUUAAAGACAGAAGCUCAACUUCUGAAGGGCAGUGGAAACUGGGGAACUAGAGUACGGUAGGGGUUGAGGGAAUUCCCAGUGUAGCGGUGAAAUGCGUAGAUAUUGGGAAGAACACCAGUGGCGAAGGCGCUCAACUGGGCCGUAACUGACACUCAGGGACGAAAGCUAGGGUAGCGAAAGGG
rnacentral:rRNA from 1 species